GGGGAUGUAUAUAAUUGAGGAAGAGAUUGAAAAGAAUCAUUAGAUAUAAUGUGCCAUUUUAAUGCUGAUACUGGCGCAACUCCUAGGUAAGGAUGUAGAGUUGCCAAGUCACCAACUUCAAGUGUACCAUGCACCCUUGAUGCCUUCAUCAAUGUAACUUCUUGGUGAUUCAGUCCACUAUUGCUUAUAUACCAUUGAGUUUUGAAUUUGGUGACCAUUAUGAUAGGAAUGACCAAGGGACCAAACAACCUUUAUAUGACGACAAUGUCUGUGAGAGCGAUAUUAUAUGGAUUUUCUAGGUAGCUUAGGAAAAUUU
rnacentral:lncRNA from 1 species